rnacentral:rRNA from 1 species
UGGGGAAUAUUGCACAAUGGGGGAAACCCUGAUGCAGCGACGCCGCGUGAACGAAGAAGGUAUUCGUAUCGUAAAGUUCUGUCCUAUGGGAAGAUAAUGACAGUACCAUAGAAGAAAGCUCCGGCUAAAUACGUGCCAGCAGCCGCGGUAAUACGUAUGGAGCGAGCGUUGUCCGGAAUUAUUAGGCGUAAAGGGUACGCAGGCGGUUUAAUAAGUCGAAUGUUAAAGAUCGGGGCUCAACCCCGUAAAGCAUUGGAAACUGAUAAACUUGAGUAGUGGAGAGGAAAGUGGAAUUCCUAGUGUAGUGGUGAAAUACGUAGAUAUUAGGAGGAAUACCAGUAGCGAAGGCGACUUUCUGGACACAAACUGACGCUGAGGUACGAAAGCGUGGGGAGCAAACAGG